rnacentral:rRNA from 1 species
UGCUGCAUGGCUGUCGUCAGCUCGUGUCGUGAGAUGUUGGGUUUAAGUCCCGCAACGAGCGCAACCCUUUGUCAUUAGUUGCUACAUUCAGUUUGGGCACUCUAAUGAGACUGCCGGUGACAAGCCGGAGGAAGGUGGGGAUGACGUCAAGUCCUCAUGGCCCUUAUAGGUGGGGCUACACACGUCAUACAAUGGCUGGUACAAAGGGUUGCCAACCCGCGAGGGGGAGCCAAUCCCAUAAAGCCAGUCGUAGUCCGGAUCGUAGUCUGCAACUCGACUACGUGAAGUCGGAAUCGCUAGUAAUCGUGGAUCAGAAUGUCACGGUGAAUACGUUCCCGGGUCUU